CUGGUUCCUGUACGAUCAUCAAAGUUAAGCAACAUCAAGCCUGGUCAGUACCUAGAUGAGUGACCACCUGGGAAUACCAGGUGCUGUAAG